rnacentral:antisense_RNA from 1 species
GUAGGAGUGAGCCUGCUCGCGAUGACGAAGUGUCAGUCGACAUCAGUGUUGUCUGACUUACCGCUAUCGCGAGCAGGCUCACUCCUAC